UUUGGGGAUAUUUGUUGGGGGAAUGGAACCGCUGAGUUGAAUCGAUUCAGUAAACAUAGCCAUUCUGCACCGGGGAUGUUUAUGCUUAGGAUUUUCAGUGCACAAGCUUCUAUGCCUGGGCUAAUAAUAUGCAUCACCCCUUAUGUUUAUGUUUAUGUUUAUGGUUAGGAUUUUUGUUUGUGGUAGGCAUUACCAUUCCUGCACAAAGAGAAACUUCAACCUGAAACGUACUGCGCUUCACAAUCCAUCCUUCACCAACGGGAAUCUGUCACUAGUAAUUAGCAACCGAGGUGUCCGCGUGUCCGGUUCAACAUCACAAUGUGCAAGCUAAUUAGCCAUCUGCUUUCGCUGUUUGAAAAUGAGUAGAUAGAUUGUCUUCCUUCCACGCCAUGCUUAACCAUAGGUGUUUGUGUGUUUCUGUCAAAUGAAAGGAGCCCCCUAAGCAAAUCAGAGGCACAAAAAACACAUCACGCAGGGCAGGAUGUGCCAAAUAGUCCACAUAUGCCAAAGGUAUGUUUGCUUUUCUGUCAAACGAAUCGAUCCAUCAAACGAGGUCAGCUUUGGGGAUUAUUGUUUUUUUGGUUGGAGGCGAGUGGAACCACUACAUUGAAUCGAUUCAGUGCAUAUGCCAAAUGGCCCCACAUAUGUUUAUGGUUUCUGUACAAAGGCUUAUGUGGUUGGAUGAAUAAUCUAAAUCCACCCUUUUAUUUGUACACAAAGGGAAACACCAACCUGAAAUGUAUUCUACCUCACAGUUCGUCAUCAACAGCUGAGGUGUUUGCUUAUGAUUCAACAUUACAAUAUAAACACUGAUUAGUCAUCUUUUAAUGACAUGAGUAGAUUGUCUUCCGUUCAUGCCAUGUUUAACCAGAGUCCAGAGGUUUGUGUGUGUUUCUGUCAGAACUUUAGUGUUAAAAAAACAGAGGGAGCUCCCUCAGCAAAGCAGCAGCACAGAAAAACACAUCAUGCAGGAUGAUACUAUCUGCCCUGUAGAGCAGACAUUGUCAUAUCAUUAGCACUAGGUGGCUCUUCCUCCGUUACCCUUAUGUGGAAAUACGCCGGAUGCUUAGGUUCAGGCAGGGUCAUGCUUUCACUGCUUAGCAUCGCAACCACACUUGCUGUUGUGGGUCUAUCAGCUGCAUUCUCUUGCACACAGAGCAGUGCGAUGUUGAUGCACCUCAUUGUCUCUAACACGUCAGACUCUGAAACUAUUGAUUCAUCGACGAACUCAAGCCAUCUUUCCUCUUUCCACAACUUCCAUGCCUUGCAGGAGAAUGAAGACAUAUUAAACAAUGUUUUUAGAUGAUCAAAAUGAUUUUGCAUCUUCAAUACAGAAAAUACUUACAUAUCCAAGAAGGUUGAAGAAAUCCCCAAAUUGAUGGAAACAUGAGUUUCUUUUUCCAUGGAUGAUCUCAAGAAUUAGCACACCGAAGCUGAAUACAUAAGAUUUGAUCGAGAACAGACCCUCUGAAGCAUACUCGGGAGCCAUAUACCCACUGUGAAAAUAUACAGAAAAAGGUAAACUUCUAUUUGGUAUUUGGUUAACUUCUAGUAGGAUGGACUUAAGGAAAAGCUUACUAUGUCCCGGCAAUCCUUUUUGUGUUCCCUUCAGUAUCCUUUGAACUGAAUAUUUUUGCAAGCCCAAAAUCUGAUAUUUUAGGAUUCAUUUCACUAUCCAAAAGAAUAUUGCUUGCUUUAAGAUCUCUGUGUAUGACACGUAACCGGGAGUGUUUAUGCAAAUAUAGUAGUCCUUGUGCUAUCCCUUCGAUAAUCACUUUUCUUUUAUUCCAUGUUAAUAAAGUUCUUUUAGUUUCAUCUGCACAUUAGUUAACAAAUACAUGUACAUUAGAGGGGGGGGGGGGGGGGUAGCUUUAGCAGACAGAGUAAACCUAUAAUCUGUAACAGGAAACUCAAGAAGUAAUACCAAAGAUAAAGAAGUCCAAGCUUUUAUUUGCCAAAUAUUCAUAGAUCAAUAUUUUCUCCUCUCCUUGAGAGCAACAUCCCAAUAGCCGAACCAAGUUUGUGUGCUGGAGCUUGGCUAUGAGUUGGACUUCGUUUUUAAACUCUGUGAAACCUUGCCCAGACUAUGAAGCUAGUCUCUUAAUCGCUACCUCUGAUCCUUUCAGAAGCUUGCCCUGUGGAGGUUUCAAAGAGCUUGAUCAAUGAUAUCAUCUUGCAAAAUAUAAGUUUUUAAAAAUCAACAGGGUCGUACAAAUUUUGUUAUUGAUGCAAGUAGGUUUCUUCUUCUCUUUGUGUACAUGCAUACAUAAAUGUGCUUUUACCUUGUACACUGGGCCAAAGCCACCUUGCCCCAAUUUAUUUUCAUCUGAGAAGUUACUUGUAGCAUCUGAUACUUCUGAAAAGUCAAAAAACGUGAACUCUGAACUCCUUCCUAUUCCCCAGACUAGUUCUUCAUCUUCCUGUGAGUUCACUUUACCUAAAUUCAGAAAUCAGAGUUUAUGUAGUCCUUUUAGGUAGUGCUGAUUCAAAGCAUCUAUGAAUCUAAAUGGCCUAGUAGAUGUGAGUGUACAGUAACAUUUCCGAACUGACCUUUUGCAUGCCUUUUGAUCAGCCCAAACCAAAUCAUGAAGCAGAAAAAUGAUGCUAGUGGAAGCACAGUGGUAACGAUCAAAACCUUCAUUACAUGCCCUAAAAUGAAAGAUUUCACACAAAGAUAGGUGGUUAGUUCACUAGAAAAUUCUACGUGUAUAAUAACAUAGUAGUAAAUGGAUUCAGCAGUUCAAGGUUGAAAACAAAUGGUUUUGGAGCUCAACGUUGAAACAAACGGUUUCAGAGCUCAAGCUUGAAAAGUGGGUUGAAACCGGAACUUAUUUCGUUAUAUUUUGAGGAAUAUUCUGACAUGUAGUACAAUGUAAGGUUUCAUCAUCAUAUAUAAGUUUGUUAAAUUGAAGCAUUGAUCAAUGUCUAGCAGUCAGCCAGAUGAAUUAAUUAUGUCCUUCGUAGUCAGCGAAAUUAAUUUAUGGUCAUUAGAUCUAUAUAUCCGAAGGUGCUCUGUACACGUAACUCAUAUUUAUACGAGCCGCUCACUCCUCCUACACUAACCUAUUCUCAGCUGGACCUUUUCCUUUAUUCCAGCAAUAGUUUUAGAAUUCCAAUGGAUGAAAUAAAAUGCAUGGUUGAUAGUUUAAUAGUAUACAUGAAUAUCAUUAUUUCAAAUACUACCUCGUAUUUUGGAACAGAUCUAGUAGAAUUUUGCUUCUUGUGAAAUUAUUACAACCAGUUCUGCCUUAUAUCUACUCUAUACCAUUAGAAUUAUAGUCCCACUAAGUGUAAUAGUUCCAUUGAACUCAAUGCUUGAAUCUGAUGGUUACCAUUUGAAAGGUGACCUGGAACUGCAAGGAUGCUGCACAAUAGUCAAUUUUAGUGCCAUAAAGACGGGAUAGGAUCAUAGGAGUAAUGUAAAUGGAAAAAAUAGGUAUAUAGAUAGAGAUAGUGCAAAAGAAGGAAGACAGCCUAGUUUUGGGAAAGAAAGAACCUACUCUCUUGCUUACUUUUGUGUUUCCGGCUGGGCACAACAACCGGCUUAUUCUCGUCUUUCUGCCUCGGAACACCAACUGGCCCUGGCGCCGGCUGGCGUGCUACCACCAUGUUUGUUGCUGGAUCUACAGAAGCUGACCAGGCGAUCUGCUUCAUGGGCUCGCCCUUGUAGAACUGAUACGGGUCGUACCUGAAAUUGCACCACAUACCAGCAAUCCAUUCACCACGUUGCCGGUAGAAGAAACUCUGCACCGCACUCCUGAUAUUGUCGAGGCAAUCCCAGCAGUCAUUCGGUGACAGGUUCUGGUUGCACUGCGCCAGGGAGUAGAGCAGAGGGUCUGUGCCGUUGACAUCCAUGCAGCCAGUUGUCUACUUCGUCACCGAGUUGUACGCUGCUUGUUUGGCUGUCUCUUGAAGCAGCAGCUUGAUGUUGCCAUCAAUGCUGACAUUGGUGUACUUGGAACCCACCUCGAUGGAAACGCCGGGAUCCGUAGUUCUGCUGUUGUCCGAAAAGAUGAGCAACCCAUUUAGCACAACAGCUGAGUCAUAGAUAAGGUCCUUGGGGGAGAUGUGGACAAUGCAGUCCUCAUACAGGACAUGCAUUUCUUCGUAGGCUAUGCACGACCACCGAUCAUCGCGGAAUGCUGUGGUGAUGCAUCUGGGGCAGGCAGGGGCCUUGCCGCCACCGCGGCACAGUGCGACUCCAUAUGUGCUAUCUUGGUCAGUUCCAACGAAACCCUUGGCGAGGAGGGUUUGUUUGGAUGAGGCAAUCUUGGACAGCAUGGUGGAUAGGAGGUCAAGGUUAGCGUGGUAGGUGCUACCAUUCAUUUUAGAGUAGGCACCAUCGCAGAGCUGCGCUAGUGGAUCGCCAUUGGCAACGAAUGGCUGAAAGCCGAGUGUGAGCAGCAAGACGAUGAUCAUGGCUGUGGCUAACCAAAGGCCGAGCAAUCAAAUUACAUGGAAUACAAUACUGCAGCCGUCCGGGCACCACCCAUCCUGUGUAAUCAAAUUGGUUGUAGUACAAGUGAUGCAUGACAGGGGAGAGAACAAAAUGUAAAAAAUGAACAAAUCCAGGCUCAGUGCUGCAGUCAAAGGAGAAGGGGUCUUCUUAUUGUGACCUUGAGCGAGCAGCCAAGUCGAAGGUGAUUCUCUUACAACAAUUAUGUGAGCUAAGUGCUAUCUGUUAGAAGCUUUGACCCAGAAAGAUUUCUUAUACCGAAACACUUUGGAAAUUCUCCUAAGCUCCUGUGAUGCUGGAAUUUGUCAAGACAUUGAAGAUCUCAAGCAUGUAAACCCCGUUGAUUUUUUGUGUUAUGUAGCGGAGUUUGCAAACCAAGUUCGAUAGCCCAAGAGUUUGUAAACUAAGGCCCUAUUCGGUAAUGGUCCGCUCCCGGAAUCUGUGAAGUGGCUAAAUGGCAACUCCACCAUUUUAAACUA